AGGAAGCCACAAAUAUGUAGCACAUCAACUUUCUGUAUUGUAUAAAGUUCUCAGUUAUUUUAAUGGGUGUGCUACUUUGGAUACCCUAAAAAGAGACAUCGAGGCUAAUUUCAAAGCUUUAAAAUCGGGACUGGCUGUAGCAGAGGGUUCUGUGCAGGAACCUAUUCUACCAUCAUAUUAUGUAAACUGGAUUCUGCGUCUUACCCGUGGCAUUAUUACUACGGUUUCUGCACUACCUGAAGAGUUAACCGAAGAACUGUCUUUGGCCAUGUCUUUUGUUACGAAUAUAUCAUAAAGUUUCCUGUGCGCAGGAUGAGUUGGAGACCUGGGUUCUCGCGCUCUGCGUGCUGGUAAGUUCAAUGCCACUUUGCUGAUGUUCACAUUUAAUGGCAUUUCCCAUUAUAAGUGCACAUUGUCAAAUGGCGGUAAAAGCACAUAGAGCACGACUUUCCUCUUUCUUUCCCUCAACUCCCACUCAUAAAGUACCAGACGUAAUAUUGCACUGAAUGUCACGUUUAACAUUGUCUGAAGAGAGAA